UACGGAGGGGGCUAGCGUUGUUCGGAAUUACUGGGCGUAAAGCGCGCGUAGGCGGUUUAUCAAGUCAGGCGUGAAAGCCCCGGGCUCAACCCGGGAACUGCGCUUGAUACUGGUUGACUAGAGGCCGGGAGAGGGUAGUGGAAUUCCCAGUGUAGAGGUGAAAUUCGUAGAUAUUGGGAAGAACACCGGUGGCGAAGGCGGCUACCUGGACCGGACCUGACGCUGAGGUGCGAAAGCGUGGGGAGCAAACAGG
rnacentral:misc_RNA from 1 species